rnacentral:rRNA from 1 species
AUACUCCGAGAACUGAAAGGCUUUUUGAAGUCUUCGGAUGGAUAGAAGAACCCCUGAUGCCGUCGAGCCAAGAAAAGUUUCUAAGUUUAGCUAAUGUUGCCCGUACCGUAAACCGACACAGGUGGGUGGGAUGAGUAUUCUAAGGCGCGUGGAAGAACUCUCUUUAAGGAACUCUGCAAAAUAGCACCGUAUCUUCGGUAUAAGGUGUGGUUAGCUUUGUAUUAGGAUUUACUCCGAAAGCAAGGAAACUUACAACAAAGAGUCCCUCCCGACUGUUUACCAAAAACACAGCACUCUGCUAACUCGUAAGAGGAUGUAUAGGGUGUGACGCCUGCCCGGUGCUCGAAGGUUAAUUGAUGGGGUUAGCAUUAGCGAAGCUCUUGAUCGAAGCCCGAGUAAACGGCGGCCGUAACUAUAACGGUCCUAAGGUAGCGAAAUUCCUUGUCGGUUAAAUACCGACCUGCAUGAAUGGCGUAACGAGAUGGGAGCUGUCUCAAAGAGGGAUCCAGUGAAAUUGUAGUGGAGGUGAAAAUUCCUCCUACCCGCGGCAAGACGGAGAGACCCCGUGGACCUUUACUACAGCUUGACACUGCUACUUGGAUAAGAAUGUGCAGGAUAGGUGGGAGGCUUUGAGUAUAUGACGCCAGUUGUAUAUGAGCCAUUGUUGAGAUACCACUCUUUCUUAUUUGGGUAGCUAACCAGCUUGAGUUAUCCUCAAGUGGGACAAUGUCUGGUGGGUAGUUUGACUGGGGCGGUCGCCUCCCAAAUAAUAACGGAGGCUUACAAAGGUUGGCUCAGAACGGUUGGAAAUCGUUCGUAGAGUAUAAAGGUAUAAGCCAGCUUAACUGCAAGACAUACAAGUCAAGCAGAGACGAAAGUCGGUCUUAGUGAUCCGGUGGUUCUGUGUGGAAGGGCCAUCGCUCAAAGGAUAAAAGGUACCCCGGGGAUAACAGGCUGAUCUCCCCCAAGAGCUCACAUCGACGGGGAGGUUUGGCACCUCGAUGUCGGCUCAUCGCAUCCUGGGGCUGGAGCAGGUCCCAAGGGUAUGGCUGUUCGCCAUUUAAAGCGGUACGCGAGCUGGGUUCAGAACGUCGUGAGACAGUUCGGUCCCUAUCUGCCGUGGGCGUAAGAAGAUUGAAGAGAUUUGACCCUAGUACGAGAGGACCGGGUUGAACAAACCACUGGUGUAGCUGUUGUUCUGCCAAGAGCAUCGCAGCGUAGCUAAGUUUGGAAAGGAUAAACGCUGAAAGCAUCUAAGCGUGAAGCCAACUCUAAGAUGAAUCUUCUCUAAGCUCUCUAGAAGACUACUAGUUUGAUAGGCUGGGUGUGUAAUGGAUGAAAGUCCUUUAGCUGACCAGUACUAAUAGAGCGUUUGGCUUAUCUUUAAUAAAGCAU